UGGCACUGAGCUAACCUGAGAGCCUGAAGCCCACACCUGGAGCAGCAGGAGCACCUCUGGCAGAGGCAGCUCUGACCCCACCUUAGCAGACAGGCCUCCAGAGCACGGCACAGGUUCCGAAAUGAAGACCAUUGUGUGAGAAGGGACGAGUCUGGAGCUGCCUCCCAAAGGAGGCAGGUGUGGGGUACCUCGCAGGACACAGACAACGCUUCCACGGCCAAAGUGGGCAAAACUCACUGCCUCGCGUGACAGCGAUCUACAAGACGAUUGCAAACAUGUUAGCAUAGAAGCAUGUACCGAACAUGCAGGGAGGUAACCUGUGUCAUCCAUCCCGCUUUUGGGGGUUGUUGGAAUAGGAGAUUACAACUGAAAUGUCUAAGACGGCCAGGCAAAUGUUAACAGUGAGGGGGCAGGUGGGGCAUCCGCCCCUUGGGAGUAAUUAUCCCUCCACUAGGAAAUAUGUUCUCUUCUGUUCCUGACAUAUGUGGGUCUCCUGGUUCAGCAUUUUCCAAUUUUGAGAAAAACGCACCUCAUGUAUUCCAUUCGCUGCCUAACCCAAUUCAAUUUCUUCUUCUAAGUUCUACUGCCAAGGAAACAACUUCACACCAUCUCGGUGCCAGAGAGCUCAGAGGAAGUGGGGAGGCUGUGAGAGCCGGGGGCCCAGGGCCCUUGAAGCAGGUUGCUUCUGAACAAGUCAAGCUAGCGGUGGCCAGAUGGGGCGGGGAUUUUUCUGAAUGACUACAGUUUGUCAGUUGUUCUUUCAAGUAAAAAUGGUGUUUUAGGAAAAAAAAAUUGGCUGGUUCAACUUGCACUUCAAAAGUUGCACAAGUGUUCUCCUCCCAAUCUCUGCAACUCAAUAAGCAGCCCACGUACUUUCUGGGUACUUCCCUUUUAAUCACACGGAAUCUUGAAGAGAGACAUAUGAGCAUCAAAGUUUAACAAAAUCCAUCAUUUUCCCGCUUCCCCAAGGCUUCAAUAAGCAGCCCAAGUACUUUCUGGGUACUUUAAUCACACGGAAUCUUGAAGAGAGAUACACGAGCAUCAAAAUUUAACAAAAUCGAUCCUCUUCCUGCUACCCCAAGGACACUCCUGUGUGAAACCGUGCUGAUCCGUGUCUCCUACGAGAGCAGGCUGCUGGGCCAGGCGCUGACAGCUCGCCCCAUGGAGCCGCCACCUGGACUCCGGGAGGCGCCAAGGCUUCAGCCCCCACGUGCUCUUAACAUCAUCCGUGCAAAUAUCAUCACAGCAAAAGAGGCAAAUAACGUCUUGGCAUUUUUAUGCAAAGAUUUUUGACCUUCGAAGCCCCCGGGAAGUGCGUGGGACUCUCAGGGUCCGUGGAACACAUUUGUAGAACAGAAAUCAGGGAGAAGCUAAGCCUCUUGUUCCCCAGGAAUUCUUUCAACGGUAUUUUAUCAUCAAUAGCUGAGGAGUAUAUUGUACCCCUCACACACGGUAAAACCAUAUAAAGGUAAACUACCUUUAGUUAUAUGCUGUUUCCUACGAAUAUGAUAUGUUCUCAAAAUAAAUUCAGAGUAGGAUCCAUUCUGUUUUACAAGAGAUCGAGGAGCGACACUGGCAGCUGGGUGCCCUCUGCUGGCCAGUCUGGGAAGUGGCUGGCUGGGAAGGCAGCGCUCAGACUUCCCUAAACUUCACAGAGGGCGUGAAUGGUCCAGCUCUUUUCAUAAAGACUCCCCUUAAGAAGCAUAUUCAAGAUUUUUCAACCACAUAAUUUAUUUAAUUUCAAUAAUUUAUUUUUCAAUAAUUAAAAUGUUUUUUAAAGAAUCAAGAUUAUUUUUAGAUUGAAAUAUGAUUAAAAAUAUUUGGUGACAUUAAAUUUUCUGUAGUGCAUCCAGGCAUCUCACUAGGUAACUUAAAAGCAAAAACCAAAAGUAGUAUCUAUGUUGUUUAUCCUCAUCAGUCACUGGAGUUUCGAUCAGACAGUCUUACUGUGCUUGAGAGCAUAGACUCUGCCUGCGUGUAUAGGAAGAGAAAGGAAGGGAACAGGUAGAAUCAAGUAAGAGAAAAUAGACUGCUGAAAGAAAACUUUCUGCUUACACGUAAGACAACUUUCUGCCUCUAUCUCUACCUAAUAUAGAUAAUUAUCAUGAUCACACAUUCAAACAGGGGCUUGCUAUGCAAAUGCCACAUCAGUGAUCAAAUUCUUUAAAGAGUUAUUCAGGUUUUGGACAAAUUUGCACUGAUGACCCAUCACAAUAUAGAGAAAAGCAAUUGAACUGCUUCAUAUGUAUUGAUUUGGAAUUGACUCGAUUCCAUCAGUUACCAGCUGUUAUUCUGAAUGUUCUCCAAAUGGUUCUGCCCACUUGAAAAAGAUACCUGGGGCCUUCCUUAACAUUCCCAGUUACCCAUCUAUGUAUAUUUUACAACUGGGCAUCCAUCCCAGGCAUUAACUGAGCACAUAUUACGUGCUAGACACUGUGCCAGGCUUUGGGAAGGGCCAAAGGUUAACAGGGUGUAUUUCCAGUCCUGAUAAAACUUUACUGUCUAGUUAUCCCUCAGUCGUUCCAGUACGAGGUGGGCUAUUGUAGGUCCUCUGAAUAGAUUACUUUGGGUGUUCAGGAAGGGGAAAGCUUCAUCAUGCAGGAAGUGAGAUUUGAGUUAGUUCUUGCAGAUUUUGUGAUAAUAACAGGCAGAAAUGGGAGAGUGGGGUAGUCCAUAUUGAAAAAGCAAGUGAACAAAAGCCUUGGGUCAGGGAUGUCCUGGAUGUAUUCUGAAAGUGAGAAUAAUGAAGUAUACAUUAAAAAAAAUACAGGCUGGGCACAGUGGCUCAUGCCUGUAAUCCCAGCACUUUGGGAGGCUGAGGUAGGAGGAUUGCUUCAGGCCAAGAGUUCAAGACCAACUUGGGCAACAUGCUGAAACCCCAUCUCUAAAAAAUUAAAGCUAUAUGUAUAGAUAUAGAUAUAUAACAGGAAUUGAGAAAAAUAGAUUCAUAUUAAUAAGAGGAAUAAUAACAUCUGCAAUAUUUCCCCAAGAAUCCACAUUCUGCUUAAUAACAGCUGGUGCAUAAUCCAAGCCAGUUUUCACAAUGGCCUUUCCCCCCUUUCUCUUUUUUCUACGAAAGAAGAAAGUCCCAUCUCACUAGUUGAGUUCUGGUAGGGGCCAGCUGGUGCUGGAAGGCUCUCUUAGAAGCCUGUGAGGCCCUUCAUGUGCUCAGCCAAUGAGCAGCUCCUGUUCUUGAGGUUGGAUGGUUUGAUGUAGAAGACAGUGGCAAGUUGAUUCCUAAUCUGACUUUGCAAAGUACAUCUAAAGUGCAUGACAGCAUGUGGACGUAGUUUCAAAAUACACCCAAUCAUAUGUCCUCAAUGCUGGUGAGUAAGGAAAUCAUCUCAGGCCUGAUGGUUGGCCUUAUUGAAAAAUCUGUGAUGCCUUCAUUGAAGCCCAAAGUGAACAUUUUUGUUGUUUCAUCCUUAGUAAGCUUAAGCCAUUCAAAAUGCUGAAUGAAUUGCUGAGAUAAAUCACUUGAAAUCAUAGAAAUGGACCUUUCUGGCAUGAUCUGUGUCAUGAGAACAAUUUUUAAAUCUUCCUGUGAACAGAGUCGUAGGACUGCCUUUCCCACUGCCAGCCCACCAUGUGGAGAAGCACACUGUGAGCAAGGUUCCUGUUUUGUCAUGGAGAGGGAUGGUGAGACGGCCUUGGUGGCAUUACUUCACUGUACAAUGAACCCUGCUCCAUGCGGGUGAGAUACAGCUGCAGCUGCUGACUUCCUGGCAAAUUUUCUCUCUGUGCACAUGAGCUGGUCCUGAUCUAACACAUUUUUCUGAGCUCCAUCCUAGCUCGUGGCUCAUUCAUUACAUUCAAACGCCCCUGCUUCUGAGACACAGGUGUGCAGUGGCAAAGGAACAGACGUGGUAACGCAUUCUGCCUCCUGCGAUCUGGUUUGUUCUCUGCACAUUUGUGACUUCAUCAAAUACCUGCUAGUGGACGCCCGAUGAUCAUACCUGCUUUUCCACAUGUUUUGUGUUUGCAUGUGUGAAACACAACAGAGGCAGGUGACGAAGAUUUCUUCCAGUCCCUCAUUUUGCAUCUUCUCUGAACACGGUAUCUGCUGUCGACCCGGAGUCUGCGUUUAUCAACUUCUCCACAGUCCCGGAGCGGGUACCUCCUUCUGCAAUUGAGGACGAGGCCUCUGCUAUUGAAUGGUGCCUUUCAGGUUCUCAUGGUUGCUUUUCUUUUCAUGUAAAACUAGCCAUUUCACAUUGGAAAACAUCACUUUAUGUUUGUUCUGGAAAUAUUCACUUGCUUUGUCUGGAAGGCCACUGUGUUUGGAUGCCAGUUACAUAAAGGAUUUGAUGAUGAAAAGUCUCAUUAAGGACUAGGAAUUAAUAGAUCAUCAAGAAAAUCCAGUUUCAAAAAUUUAUAUUUUCUAUUAAAACACAUCUGCUUUUAGCUACUUGUCCAAAACCAUCCUGGUAUGCAGGUUCUCAUUCAUCUUUAUAUCAGAGUCAUUCACGAUUUCCAUUCAGGAUAUUAUUUUGUAUAUUAUAGUGAGUUCAUAUACGUAUCCCAAGAUUGCUUUCACCUGUAAGGAAUCACCUUGUGCCACUAAUUCAUUUUACAGUGAAUUAGUGAUUGUAAAGAAAUCACAAUGCCAAUGACUUCGCUAAUUUAACAGGUGAUAGAACAUAACACACAAUGACAUAAAAAACGAACUUCCCCAAUCAACC
rnacentral:lncRNA from 10 species